GCCCGCAGGUUCCAGCCCCGACCCGGGCGCGCGGGGCCGACUAGGGUCGGGUCCAGUGUGCGGUGGUCGCUCCGCUCCGGGCCGCUCCGCUCUGGGCGUCAGGGCGCGGGGAGCUGCCCCGGGGUUCUGUCCACCGGGGAGGAAAGCCACGAGCACUGAGCGCCUCCUGAGAGCCAGCCCUGACGUGAACUCAUUUUAUCUGCCACGACCCAGAAGCAUGAGUUCUUCUGUUUCUUCUGCGUGGGUUGACCAUGGGCAUCAGGCAUCAGAGAUACAACUCUGGAUCUUGUCCAUCCAUUGCUGGGCACUCUGUCCAUCCUGGGCGCAGAAGUUAUACACACGUUUGCUGGUCUUGAGCUACAAAACCAAAUGACAGUGAACCAGAGAUGAAGGGCAGGGCUGUUUUAUGGAUUUGGGAGUCUACUGCUAAGAUUUCAGCAUGUCCUGUGGCUGAGUUAAUCAGAGUUAUGACAGGAAGGUACCGGGCACACCAUCGCAAUGCUCCAUCAAUGCUAGUAUGUUGUGUUCUUUCCUUCAUAUCAAGUCAACUCAAGCUUGCUCUACUUACCUGGUGUACACAGUCUAAGAACUGUAAGAAGACUGGAGCAAAACCACUCCCCUGACAGUUGAGGGUCAAGCUGCUCCUCUGACUGAAUUUGUGACCAAAAGAGAGCCACUCUUUUUCAACCAACAUCUGGAAGCCUUCAAGUGUCCUAUAAAAGGGAUCACUGAGUAACUGAACCAGGGAUGUCACCUAGGGCAUAAGCAGGAUGGAUUGUCAUUAAUUUUAGUUCUGAAAAAGGCCUAUUACUAAGAUAAAAGCACUUCCUUCUGAUGAUAGCUAAUUCACAAAUUUACCUGGACAGCAAAUUUGUUCACUAACCAUUCCAGGAUGGCCAAUAAAAUUAAUUUUGUAAACUUGCCAGUAAAAACUAAAGCUCAAAUUCAUUUUGGCUACAAGUUUACUUUCAGGGAAUUGAGACUUUAAUCCUUAACUGGCCAGUUUGCUGACAGCAACCUUUUCCUAAGUUAAUCAGAGGCCAGAGGAUCAGUUAAAAUCAAUUCUACUUUUUGGCAGAUGCAGAUUAAUGUCUUAAUGUAGUCUGAACUCACACUUUUCACUCUGGAGUGAGUUAAGGCGGGGCUUAUAGAGAGCCAGGGGAUGGACUGACAAAACCCAGGAAGGAUGGUCCACGCCUCACACUGCUGGUCAAGGGCUCCAUCCGCAAGCCUGCAUGGUACAUCUGUGGAUGGGAGAGCUUGAUGCCCGGAGCCAGAGCUCCAGGCUGCGUAGGGGCUAAGAGCUCAUGGUACGGAGUUUUCUGAUGGAUACCAGGUGCUGUUUAACACAGGACUUUCUCUGUCCAUAAACACAUUAGUCAUUAUACAAAAGAGUCAUCUGAAGAAUUUAAAAAUGACCAAAUGGAAAUAUAAAUAUAAAAUAUCAAAAAAUAUGUCUAAUAGUUUACUUGUGCAGUGAUGUCCCAGCCUUCCUCCAAACAGACCAAAACUGAGGAACCAUUCUCAAGUACUUCUGAUACAACCACAGCCAGCUGCAUUAUCCUGUGAAGCUAAGAGACAGGAAGGAGAACACAAUUAGACCAAGCGCUUUCUGAGUGCAGAAGUCAGAGAGAGUUGCUUUCAACCCUGGAUAAUCAAACGACUUAGGGAUAAAGCGCUUGCACAAAAGAACCACAUAAUGUUUUAAAUACCUAAAGUUCUUUCAAAUCAAGAUUAAACAAUGACACUUUUGACUGGAUGCAAUGACUCAUGCCCAUAAUCCCAGCACUUUGGGAGGCCGAGCCGGGCAGGUCAUUUGAGGUUCGGAGUUCGAGACCAGCCUGGGCAACAUAGUAAGACCCCAUCUCAAUGAAAACAACAACAAAAUGACACUUCAAAAAAGUAGACACAUUUUAAAACAAUACAUUCUAGUAAUACAUAAUGAAAUAAAAUUACCUUACAUGAUUCCCCCAAAAGUAGGUGAGCUAUAAUUCCAUAGAGUACAAAAAACAGAGAUUCUAUGUGGACUUCCCAACAAAAGACGGAAAUUCAGAUGAAUUUUAUUGGAUUUAAAAUUUGUUUUUCCAUGAUGUAGUAAGUUUUGUUUCAGACAUUUUUUUUUUUUUUUUUUGAGACAAAGUCUCGCUCUGUCACCCAGGCUGGAGUGCAGUGAUGCAAUCCUGGCUAACCACAACCUCUGCCCCCCGGGUUCAAGCGAUUCUCCUGCCUCAGCCUCCCGAGUAGCUUGGAUUACAGGUGCAUACCAGUGCACCCGGCUAAUUUUUUGUAUUUUUAGUAGAGACGAGGUUUCACCAUGUUGGCCAGGCUAGUCUUGAACUCCUGACCUCAGGUAAUCCACCUGCCUCAGCCUCCCAAAGUGCUAGCAUUACAGGCGUGAACCACCACGCCUGGCCUAUUUCAGGUAUUCUUAAUUUUUUGGGAAUUAGAUAGUGGUGAUAGUUACACAAUGUUGUGGACAUACCAAAAAGCGUUGAGUUGUGCACCUUUAUCAUAAGGAUAAAUUUUAUGGUAAGUGAAUUAUAUGUUAAAAAAGAAACUCCUGGCUGGGUGUGGUGGCUCAACGCCUGUAAUCCCAGCACUUUGGGAGGUUGAAGCAGGAGUAGUGCUUGAGCUCAGGAGUUUGAGACCACCUGGGCAACAUGGCAAAACCCCAUCUCUACAAAACAUACAAAAACCAGCCAGGCGUGGUGGCAUCUGCCUGUAAUCCCAGCUACUCAGGAGGCUGAGGUAGGAGGAUCGCUUGAACCUGGGAGAUCGAGGCUGCAGUGAGCUGUGAUUGUGCCACUGCACUCUAGCCUGGGUGACAGAGCAAGACCCUGUCUCGAAAAAUAAAAAUAAAAAAGAUACUCCUAUUUGUCUAUACUGUGUACUAAAUGAGAAAAAAACUUUCAAUAUAUUUGUGCUAAGUUUUUAAAGCCACAUCAAUUGGCUCAAAGUCCUUAAUAAACAAUUAAGGUAUGAGAAUAGUAUAUAGAUUUUAAAACCAGAUGUAUAACAUUGUAAUUUUAAAAAAUAUUUUAAUGAUCAUCAGACAUAAUUUGCAAUUUGAAUCCAACUCUGAACAAGAACAAAAAUGAAAAAACCCAUCUCUUAAACAGAGCUAGGCUACUUUAAACACAGGAAUAAGGCAAAUGCCCUACUCAGUAAUGAGAAGCUCCUCAUGUAACUGUUUCUACAACAUAGCUAUCACCAGGCCUGAAUUCUUUUGGGCUCAGAAUUUGUUCUAAGAAAUGGCUAUUAUUAAAAAGUCAAAAAAUAACAGAUGCUGGCGAGCCUGUGGAGAAAAGGGAAUGUAUAUACAUUUCUGGUGGGAAUGUAAAUUAGUUCAGCCAUUGUAGAAAGUAGUUUGGUGAUUUCUCAAAUAACUUAAAACAGAAUUACCAUUUGACCUAGCAAUCCCAUUACUGAGUAUAUACCCAAAGGAAUAUAAAUUGUUCUACCAUAAAGUCACAUGCACACACAUGUUCAGUGCUGUACUAUUCACAAUAGCAAAGACAUGGAGUCAACCUAUAUGCCCAUCAACGGUAGACUGGAUAAAGAAAAUAUGGUACAUAUACACCAUGGAAUACUACACAGCCAUAAAAAGAAUGAGCUUAUGUCCUUUGCAGUAACACAGCUGAAGCAAACUAACACAGGAAUGGAAAACCAAAUACUGCAUAUUCUCACUUAUAAGUGGGAGCUAAACAUUGAGUACACAUGGACACAAAGAAAGGAAUAGACGCCUGGGGCGUAUUUGAGGUUGGAGGUGAGAGGAGGGUGAGGAUAGAAAAACUACCUAUCAGGUACUAUGCUUAUUACCUGGGUGAUGAAAUAAUCUGUACACCAAACUCCCAAGAUAUGCAAUGUACCUAUACAACAAACCUACAUAUGUACCCCUGAACACAAAAUAAAAGUUAAAAAAAGAAUUUGCUUUAAGAGUUAACUUUUAAGAUGUCAAUAUCCCAAGUGGGCAAUUAUUUUCCACUGUCUUUAGUCCCUAUCUUUUGGUACAGGUCCACUUUCUAGCAAAGAGUAGAGCACAGAAUGUAUCAGAAACAUGGAUAGAUAAGUUGGGUGGAGGGGUCCGUUUGGAGCUGGGGCUCAUAGCCUGGGGACAGAAGGGAGUAUCGACCAGUUCCUUCCACGGGUAUGCAAAGCACCCUAAAUUGCCUUAAUAAUAAUGAACACAGCAUGAUACAUUUAUAGCCAAAUAUUUAUGUGGCGGCAUUUCUCUUUGGUUUAAGUAUCUUGAGAACAGUCACAGCCCUGAGUACUGACAUCAUUUCCUUUUUUUUUUUUUGCCUUUUAGUCCAAUGUGCUGUGGGAAACAAGAGGCAGGAUGCUUGGAGGUAGAUGGAGGCAGGGGACUGGGAAUUUCUGCAAGGUGAUAACAAAUAAUGGGGGCCAGGCGUGGCAGCUCAUGCCUGUAAUCACAGCUCUUUGGGAGGUCAAGGUGGGAGGAUUACUUGAGGCCAGGAGUUCAAGACCAGCCUGGGCAAUAUAAGAAAUAAAGGGGCUUAAAGACAAGGCCCUUUAAUUUCUCAAUAAAAGUUCAAUUAAGAAUAUCCCAAAGUUGACUGAACUGAAAGAUGAUAGACACUGUGUUUUUUUUUCAAGCCUUAGGUAGGCUUGGGGGCAUCCAGUGUGCCUUUGGUGGGUAGUGUGGGGUGGAUCUAAAAUCUAGAGACCUGGGAUAGGCAGACAAAUGAAAGGUGAGAGCUCUUGGGAGUCAUGCAGAAGUUGCCCUCUGCCCUGGAUCCUUACUGUAUUGACAACAGAGCAGGAGCCCUGUAAAUACAUGCUGAUUAAAUUUACAUCAAAGAUUUCCAUCUAAAAAUAAUUUUCUCCUUAGUGUCCUAUAGAUACCAAACUUUUAAAUACACAGAGAUAAAAACCCAGCGAUCAAGACUUCUACUCCCUCACCUCCUAUACCAGAUGAUUUCCUUAGUCUGAAAGGCCUUUACUGAUGGCACACAAUGAAGGAGGAGAAUGUUGGGGAGUAGGGGAACAAAGUAUUUUUUUUCUCAAAUACAGUUCUGUAUAUCUACUUGGGCCUCUGUUUCUUUGAGUUAUAAAGAAAGAAGCUGCUUCAGACAUUACCUGUGGGAACCACUCAGAAUCUCCCAGCGCUUUCAGGAAGGUCACUUCUGAGUCAGUAGGGAUGGUGCUUGGGAUACAAGCCCUCAUCAGCUUCUUAAAACUGGCUUUCACUUGCCGGAUUUCAUGAAAUUCAACAGGAACAAACUCACAAUUUAAAGCAAAUUCUACCUUGAAGUUCUGCGGAUGAAGAUUCAGAGAAUUAGGCAGAUGAAGUGCUAUAGGUAAAAGAGUGAUGUUUCCAAUGGGGCAGUGCAUAAUGACAAAGUUAUUUGGGGCCAAAUAGCUGCAGAGGCUGCCAAUGGGUCAAGAAAGUCAAUCUUGUACAGCAAUGUGUCAGUGUUGGUGGGAACAGCCAUUCAGUACAAGCUAGUGGUUUGCCCAGAAUGGCAAAUCUAGUCCUUACUAGAGGUAGAUUACUUAGCCUAAGAAUGCGUUCAUUCUGAGAACUGGAAGAGCCUACUGGUAGACUGGAACUUGAUGGAGCUCAUAAUACCAAAUAUAAGUCAAUUAUAAGGCCAUGAACCUGGAAGUUUAAAGAGAAACUAAUGAUACAUGGACAGUAUGAUUACUCCAACAGUGUAAACUAAGUCUUCCCAAGAUGUAUAUGGUAAGGGAUAGGUAACACACUGUUGGAGUUCCAGACUGUACGUGUAUUAAAGUUUGUAGAUAUGCACAUAUUUGUUUCUUAUUAUGCAAGUAAAACAUAUUCAUAAUAAAAAUGAAAAAAGGUAGAGAUAAAUAUUGAGAAAGAAAUAGAAAUCACUUUCUUACUGCCCCAAGACUACCAACAUUGUGGUUAUUUUUUUGUUUUUUUGGGAUGGAGUCUUGCUCUGUCACCCAGGCUGGAGCGCAAUGGUGCGAUCUUGACUGACUGCAACCUCCGCUUCCCAGGUUCAAGCGAUUCUCCUGCCUCAGCCUCCCGAGUAGCUGGGACUACAGUCGUGCGCCACCAUACCCAGUUAAUUUUUGCAUUUUUAGUAGAGAUGGGCUUUCACCAUGUUGCCCAGGAUGGUCUCAAUCUUUUGACCUUGUGAUCCGCCCACCUCGGCCUCCCAAAGUGCUGAGAUUACAGGCGUGAGCCACCACGCCCAGUCCUACUUCUUAAAAGUCAAUAAUAAAAAAUUACAUGGUCGGGCACGGUGGCUCAUGACUGUAAUCUCAGCAGUCUGGAAGGCUGAGGCAGACAGAUUACCUGAGGUCAGGAGUUCAAGACCAGCCUGGCCAACACGGUGAAAUCCCAUCUCUACUAAAAAUACAAAAAGUAGCCAGGCGUGGUGACAGGCACCUGUAAUCGCAGCUACUCGGGAGGCUGAGGCAGGAGAAUCACUUGAACCCCGGAGAUGGAGGUUGCAGUGAGCUGAGAUGACACCACUGCACUCCAGCGUGGGCAGCAGAGUGAGACUCCACCUUAAAAAAAAAAAUUACAUAAAAAAACCACGAAAGGCUUUGUUCAUUUCUAUCUUUG
rnacentral:lncRNA from 1 species